rnacentral:rRNA from 1 species
CCGGUGGCGGCUGGGCAUGCGGCGCAUUAGCUAGACGGCGGGGUAACGGCCCACCGUGGCGACGAUGCGUAGGGGUUCUGAGAGGAAGGCCCCCCACACUGGAACUGAGACACGGUCCAGACUCCUACGGGAGGCAGCAGUGAGGAAUAUUGGUCAAUGGGCGGAAGCCUGAACCAGCCAAGUCGCGUGAGGGAAUAAGGCCCUACGGGUCGUAAACCUCUUUUGCCGGGGAGCAAGGGCCGGGACGCGUCCCGGCCCGGAGAGUACCCGGAGAAAAAGCAUCGGCUAACUCCGUGCCAGCAGCCGCGGUAAUACGGAGGAUGCGAGCGUUAUCCGGAUUUAUUGGGUUUAAAGGGUGCGUAGGCGGGCUUUUAAGUCAGCGGUAAAAAUUCGGGGCUCAACCCCGUCCGGCCGUUGAAACUGGGGGCCUUGAGUGGGCGAGAAGAAGGCGGAAUGCGUGGUGUAGCGGUGAAAUGCAUAGAUAUCACGCAGAACCCCGAUUGCGAAGGCAGCCUUCCGGCGCCCUACUGACGCUGAGGCACGAAAGUGCGGGGAUCGAACAGGAUUAGAUACCCUGGUAGUCCGCACAGUAAACGAUGGAUGCCAGCUGUCCGGGCCGAAUGGGGCCUGG